GAUUCAUAAUAACUUAACGAAUCGCAUGGCCUUGCGCCGGCGAUGGUUCAUUCAAAUUUCUGCCCUAUCAACUUUCGAUGGUAAGGUCUUGGCUUACCAUGGUCUCAACGGGUAACGGGGAAUUAGGGUUCUAUUCCGGAGAGGGAGCCUGAGAAACGGCUACCACAUCCAAGGAAGGCAGCAGGCGCGCAAAUUACCCAAUCCCGAUUCGGGGAGGUAGUGACAAUAAAUACUGAUACGGGGCUCUUUUGGGUCUCGUAAUUGGAAUGAGUACAAUCUAAAUCCCUUAACGAGGAACAAUUGGAGGGCAAGUCUGGUGCCAGCAGCCGCGGUAAUUCCAGCUCCAAUAGCGUAUAUUAAAGUUGUUGCCGUUAAAAAGCUCGUAGUUGAACCUUGGGCCUGGCUGACCUGUCCUCCUAAUCGAGCGCACGGGUUCGGUCGGGCCUUUCCUUCUGGGGAUCCCGAUGCCCUUCACUGGGCGUCGUGGGGAACCAGGACUUUUAC
rnacentral:rRNA from 1 species